AGUGAACGCUGGCGGUAGGCCUAACACAUGCAAGUCGAACGGCAGCACAGUAAGAGCUUGCUCUUACGGGUGGCGAGUGGCGGACGGGUGAGGAAUACAUCGGAAUCUACUUUUUCGUGGGGGAUAACGUAGGGAAACUUACGCUAAUACCGCAUACGACCUACGGGUGAAAGCAGGGGAUCUUCGGACCUUGCGCGAUUGAAUGAGCCGAUGUCGGAUUAGCUAGUUGGCGGGGUAAAGGCCCACCAAGGCGACGAUCCGUAGCUGGUCUGAGAGGAUGAUCAGCCACACUGGAACUGAGACACGGUCCAGACUCCUACGGGAGGCAGCAGUGGGGAAUAUUGGACAAUGGGCGCAAGCCUGAUCCAGCCAUACCGCGUGGGUGAAGAAGGCCUGCGGGUUGUAAAGCCCUUUUGUUGGGAAAGAAAAGCAGCAGGUUAAUACCCCGCUGUUCUGACGGUACCCAAAGAAUAAGCACCGGCUAACUGCGG
rnacentral:rRNA from 1 species